UAUUCUUGGCAAUUAUGUGUGUCAUUGGUCCAUUGCAAGAACUGAGCAUAGAAUCCCUUCUUCCUCUGGUCCUUCCAAGUCGAAGCUGAAGGAGUGCUUUUGGCCUGCGGUCCUCUUCAUCCAUCUUCACAGACAAGCUAGUAGCCAAGAAAUCUCAGCUCCUCUUGCAUCCUUACGUUGAAGCCACUCCUGGUAUGUGUUAUCAGUGCUUGUUUCACUUUCGCCCUCUUUGUUCAGUUAUCUGGUUCUAUUGAUUAAACCCAAUAAACCUAAAAAAGGGAAGAGGAAACAAAAAUGGGUAAAAGAACCUGCAACUAAUCAAACCCUAAUAAACAUAAGGCAUCCGUUUUUGUUUUUUUUUUUAAAGGUGGUUUUGUGAAAAUCUUUAAUUAAGGGCCCUACCUUAAGUUCAUAUAUCUAUAGAUAAGAUUUGGUUGAUGGACGACUUCGCUCUUAAUUCAUUAAAAUUCCAUCUGCUUUAUUUGAAGAAAUUAUUGCUUCGGCUCUUACAAUUAUGUUUUAUCUUAUACGAAUCAUAGCUUAGAAAAAGAAAUAUUAGACUCUUUCCACAAAUGGUAAGUGAGAAAGGGGAAUCUUAUGUCAAGCUCAUGCGAAUUAAUGCUUAUUAAUCAAAACACGUCCUUCUUACAUGGGAAGGGUUUGAGGAAAUUGUGUUAGAGAACGAUAUCUUUUGGUUGAGUUAAAGAAAAUAAUUCGAGGCAUGCUAUUCAACAUCUUGCCAAAAUUGCCACUACAAGCGAUGGCUACGGGUCUCUCUAGAAAAGUAUCGUUUUUUUUUUUUAGACAAAGACCUAAGUGUUGAUUAAAUUGUCUUUUAACAAAAACCAAUCAUUUGAGAACGUCUAUUAGCAUGAGACCAUAUUUCUUCUUGUCGCUGAAAGGUUGAUCAUAGCAUUAAUUGGUAGUCUCCUCAUGAUAUCCAAUUUGCCAACCCACAAGCUCCAAUUGCAACAAUACGGUGAUAUUUUUUGCUUGAUUAUGCCUCAAAACUUCUUUUUGAGGAAAGCUUUCUCCCAUCUAACGAGUGCUGGUGUCGCAGCUAUUGUUGAAGCGUUUUGUGAAAUCAUGGUUUUUUCCACAUUCAAUCCUGAAUAGAUUAUGCAGUAAAUUUGUUCAACCUUUAGGAACCUUUAACUCGAAUUUUCCUUUUUCUUCUUCCUAUAAAAAUGUUUAUAAAAACUAUUUGAUAAGUCUCGAUGUGCAUCUUUAUGAUUUACGUGCGUUUAUGUGAAUUAAUUGGCUUUAAAAAGUUCAGCUACUCCAUGCUUUCAUUUAAUAAAAGAAAAAAAUAUUUCAUAAGGAAAAAUCAACUAUUUCAUUUUCUUUUAUUUAGGACAAGAAGGUUCCUAACAUGAAAAUUCCUAGUUUGUAAAAUAAUGUACACACAUAUGUAUGUAUAUCAAAAAGACAAAAAUGACCAAACUCUCAAAUGUCCACAAAAAAAUGUACUUACUCUUA